GCCCCCCCCCCCCCCCCCGCCCGCCGCCGCCAGCGGCUGCCGCUGCUCCAGCAGCUGAGGAGAAGAAGAAGGAAGAACCAGCAGAAGAGAGUGACGAUGACAUGGGCUUUAGCUUGUUUGAUUAGGUCCUCUAUUAAUAUAAUUUUGUCAUGCAAUACAUUUUUCUUUUGCCGUCUCUUGUCUCUAUUUGAGGAUUCAUAUAAGAUAAUGUUACUUAUCUUUUUUCAACGUUUGUACUAUUCGGUGUCAUACAUUAGCUUGUUAUGGAUUUUGUUAAUUGGUACUAAUCCUAAAAUUGAGCCUGUUUUAAAAUAUUUUUUAGUUAA